UGGAUCAGUGAGGAGAACUUGGGGGAUCUGAACUAAGAUAUUGUAACUAAACCCAUGUAUGUCUCUGAGGUCUUU
ensembl:snoRNA Gm23474 predicted gene, 23474